ensembl:snRNA U6 U6 spliceosomal RNA
UUGCUUCAGCAGCACGUAUACUAAAAUUGGAAUGAUACAGAGAAAACUGGCAUGGCCCCUGUGCCAGGAUGACAUGCACAUUCGUGAAGCGUGCUACAUUUAA